GAUGAACGCUAGCUACAGGCUUAACACAUGCAAGUCGAGGGGCAGCAUGGUCUUAGCUUGCUAAGGCCGAUGGCGACCGGCGCACGGGUGAGUAACACGUAUCCAACCUGCCGUCUACUCUUGGACAGCCUUCUGAAAGGAAGAUUAAUACAAGAUGGCAUCAUGAGUCCGCAUGUUCACAUGAUUAAAGGUAUUCCGGUAGACGAUGGGGAUGCGUUCCAUUAGAUAGUAGGCGGGGUAACGGCCCACCUAGUCUUCGAUGGAUAGGGGUUCUGAGAGGAAGGUCCCCCACAUUGGAACUGAGACACGGUCCAAACUCCUACGGGAGGCAGCAGUGAGGAAUAUUGGUCAAUGGGCGAGAGCCUGAACCAGCCAAGUAGCGUGAAGGAUGACUGCCCUAUGGGUUGUAAACUUCUUUUAUAAAGGAAUAAAGUCGGGUAUGGAUACCCGUUGCAUGUACUUUAUGAAUAAGGAUCGGCUAACUCCGU
rnacentral:rRNA from 1 species